ACGUAAUGUGCUUUAAAGAAAGAAGAAGGAGAUAGGACGACACUUUUGAUACAAAGAAAUUUUUGAAGACUUGUGGAUAGAAGAAGUAACCUUGAAAAGGGCAGAGCUGAGCCAGACCCCUUUUCAGCUGGGUGCUCCCUGGAAGAUGGAUCUUGCCUUGUGGAUGUUUUUCUACCGUGACAGAAGAUAGAAAGGAUGAAAUAGAAAGAGUGCAAUUCCAAGAGAGAAGACCACUGGUUUUGUUUGAUCUAGUCCCUGUUGAGUCCCUGUGCACCUUCAGAACCACAUCUAGCAAUAGAAGGCGCUGCACGGGGAAUUCUGGAAUGAAUAAAAACGCUUGGCAGUACCGCAUGGCGAGCCAGUACCCGUGAAUGCUACUUCCUCCAAAGAGAAUUCCUGGGAUAACAGAGAAUCCAUUCAUGGCUGCCAGGAGGACUUGGAUAUUUCUCAUUUUCCAUUGGCCCUGGAGUGGAGGAACAGAGCCGAAAAGUACGUGGGGGGCAGGCAAAGCUGCGGUCAGAGGCAGACCCUGUUGGUGUUGGCCGUGUCAACCAGCUUUGCUGGUUUCUAUUAUAGCCCUGGUGUGGCAAAGGACACUGUGUGACUGUGAGCUCAGGUCAGCAUUGCGAUCCCUUCAGGCCUCUGGCUUGCAGGUUCCUGUUCAACCCUCUUAAAUAUGCUUUUGAAGCCCGUACGUUCGGUCCACGCCAACUCCUGUUUAUACUGGUGCGAAGUGAUGCCUGCUCAGAUUCUGGGCGUUUCACGGGAAGGUAUUAAAUGUGUUUUGAAAAUA
ensembl:lncRNA novel transcript, sense intronic to WWOX